CUGAUAUACCUAAUGCAAAAUACAAAAAAAGCCCGAAAGGUUGGUAUGAUAACAAUCAAUCAAUCUAUAUAACAUGUGACAAAGAGUAUGAAUCCAAAAACCGGGAUGCUACAGCCAUAUGUUCAAAUGGAACAUGGACCUCUGUGCCGGUCUGUGAGAAAAGUAUCGAGACAUGUGGGGAGCCCCCUAAAAUCCCCCAUGCAGUCAUCAUCCAUCAGGAAUACCAGGAGUUGUUUGCUGCAGAUUCAGAAGUGCAGUAUGAAUGUGAAGAUGGAUAUACUGUAGAGGGAGGAGGAACCAAAGACAACAUCACUUGCAUCUUUGGAAACUGGACUGAAGGCUCAGCGUGCAGCAGAGGAACCAGACCAGAGAUGGGACAU